rnacentral:rRNA from 1 species
GACGUAGGAUGCGAGCGUUGUUCGGAAUUACUGGGCGUAAAGAGUGUGUAGGCGGUGCUCUAAGUUCGGUGUGAAAUCUCCCGGCUUAACUGGGAGGGUGCGCCGGAAACUGGAGUGCUCGAACGUGGGAGAGGAAAGCGGAAUUCCCGGUGUAGCGGUGAAAUGCGCAGAUAUCAGGAGGAACACCGGUGGCGAAGGCGGGACUCUGGGCCGAUACUGACGCUGGAGGAGCGAAAGCGUGGGGAGCGAACAGG